AUUGAACGCUGGCGGCAUGCUUUACACAUGCAAGUCGAACGGCAGCGCGGGCUUCGGCCUGGCGGCGAGUGGCGAACGGGUGAGUAAUGCAUCGGAACGUGCCCAGUAGUGGGGGAUAGCCCGGCGAAAGCCGGAUUAAUACCGCAUACGACCUGAGGGUGAAAGCGGGGGACCGAAAGGCCUCGCGCUAUUGGAGCGGCCGAUGUCGGAUUAGCUAGUUGGUGGGGUAAAGGCUUACCAAGGCGACGAUCCGUAGCUGGUCUGAGAGGACGACCAGCCACAACGGGGAUGGAGACAGGGCCAGAACCCCAAGGGGGGGAGCAGGGGGGAAUUUUGGGAAAAGGGGGGAAACCUUGACCCGGCCAGCCCGGGGGGGGGAAAAGGGCCUUGGGGUUGAAAACCGUUUUUUUUGGGGAAAAAAUCCUCUGGGUAAAAACCCCGGGGGGAUGAGGGUACCGAAAAAAAAAGCACCGGCAAAUUACGG
rnacentral:rRNA from 1 species